UACGUAGGGAGCGAGCGUUGUUCGGAGUUACUGGGCGUAAAGGGUGUGUAGGCGGUUGUUUAAGUUUGGUGUGAAAUCUCCCGGCUCAACUGGGAGGGUGCGCCGAAUACUGAAUGACUUGGAGUGCGGGAGAGGUGAGUGGAAUUCCUGGUGUAGCGGUGAAAUGCGUAGAUAUCAGGAGGAACACCGGUGGUGUAGACGGCUCACUGGACCGUAACUGACGCUGAGACACGAAAGCGUGGGUAGCAAACAGG
rnacentral:rRNA from 1 species